UACGUAGGGUGCGAGCGUUGUCCGGAAUUAUUGGGCGUAAAGAGCUCGUAGGCGGUCUGUCGCGUCGGUCGUGAAAACUUGGGGCUUAACCCUGAGCUUGCGGUCGAUACGGGCAUGACUGGAGUUCGGUAGGGGAGACUGGAAUUCCUGGUGUAGCGGUGAAAUGCGCAGAUAUCAGGAGGAACACCGGUGGCGAAGGCGGGUCUCUGGGCCGAUACUGACGCUGAGGAGCGAAAGCGUGGGUAGCAAACAGG
rnacentral:rRNA from 1 species